GUGCUUAACACAUGCAAGUCGAACGGUGAAGCUCCAGCUUGCUGGGGUGGAUGAGUGGCGAACGGGUGAGUAACACGUGAGUAACCUGCCCCCUUCUUCUGGAUAACUGCUUGAAAGGGUAGCUAAUACGGGAUAUUCUGGCCUGCUCGCAUGGGUGGGUUUGGAAAGGUUUUUUCUGGUGGGGGAUGGGCUCGCGGCCUAUCAGCUUGUUGGUGGGGUGAUGGCCUACCAAGGCGGUGACGGGUAGCCGGCCUGAGAGGGUGGACGGCCACACUGGGACUGAGACACGGCCCAGACUCCUACGGGAGGCAGCAGUGGGGAAUAUUGCACAAUGGGCGCAAGCCUGAUGCAGCGACGCCGCGUGAGGGAUGGAGGCCUUCGGGUUGUAAACCUCUUUCGCCAGUGAAGCAGGCCAUCUUCUUUGUGGGGUGGUUGACGGUAGCUGGAUAAGAAGCGCCGGCUAACUACGUGCCAGCAGCCGCGGUAAUACGUAGGGCGCGAGCGUUGUCCGGAAUUAUUGGGCGUAAAGAGCUCGUAGGCGGCUGGUCGCGUCUGUCGUGAAAUCCCCUGGCUUAACUGGGGGCUUGCGGUGGGUACGGGCCGGCUUGAGUGCGGUAGGGGAGACUGGAAUUCCUGGUGUAGCGGUGGAAUGCGCAGAUAUCAGGAGGAACACCGGUGGCGAAGGCGGGUCUCUGGGCC
rnacentral:rRNA from 1 species